rnacentral:lncRNA from 1 species
UGUCCUCUGAAGGGGCGGCGCAUGGGCGUCCCCCGCCCUGCUAGCCCCAUCUCCUUCCCUGUCCCUGCUUGGGCAGGAGGCCCAAGCCCUGACAACAGAGGUGAGAGAGGCUGUGCCAGCCCUUCUCUGGGCAUGUCUGGGCUCAAGGGCCAGGCUCUGUCUCCAGUCUAGGGCCAAGCUGGGGCCUGUGGCAGGAUCAGAUAGAGGCAAAACAUUGAUGAGGCAGGGGGACGGACAAAAUGGGCCUUCCAGAGGUGCUCUCAGACCCUCCCAGCCACACUACAGCCGCAGAGCCCUCCGCUCACAAACCAUCCUGGCCUCAUCAGAACCUGGGGAGGGUUCCUAGUUGUGCAGGGGGUUCCCUGUACGUACCCCUUUCCCUCCAGCACUGGAGCCCGAGUCUCCCGCUGAGCAGGCACCUCUCCCUCCACGCCCAGGCUUCUUAAACCAACCCCUCCUCCCCUUGUCAUUCAUGAACCAGAUGCAGAAACUGAGGCUCAGAAGCGUUCGGCCACGUGCAUGCAUUGCCUUUCCCAUUGGUGCUCCAUCGCCAGUAAUGGAUAAGUAAUAAGUAAUAAGGUGAUUCUGACUCUCCUGGAACCUGAGAACCACCAGUCUACGGGAACAGAGCCCUGCUUUGGGUCAGGUGUGUAUAACUAUGGUAUUCCCUUUCUUCUCUGCCUCUAUUGUUGAUGUUGUUUUUUUGUUUUUUGUUUUUUUUUGAAACGGA